UUUGAGGGUAAAAAUACCAUGCAAAGUUUCUGGAUUCAAAUAUGAAGCAUUUUCGAGACAUAGGAAGAACCACCAUGCAAACUAAGCACCAGCAGGCACCAGGCAGCAGCAUGGGUAAAAAAUUGCAAACCAUGCAAAAACAUCUUAAAGCGUCAAACGCAUCAGGUCGAAGAAGACGACGUCACAAUCAACCCUACAAUUAUAAGGAUAUAUAACCAGCAAUGUAUAUCCAACAUAGCACAAUUGUUGCCCAAAAUCCUACGCCUUCUUCGACAUCGUCUGUGUUGUGCAUUUGUCAACGAGUUGCAACAGCACGUGACAUGAUCACGCCAUGCGAUCAUGUUUGCAUGUUCACACCGAAUGGUGAACUCAGGUUAGCCUUGUGUGUAAAUUCUCGUCGACGCCGUGGAAAAUCUUCGUGUUUCUGGAGCAGUCCAGAUCUCUGUUUGGUCAUCACUCUUUUGUUCAUGGCAAUGGGCAGGUAGAUUGACCCUGCUAGAAUGUUAUAUACAACAGAGGGCGCCUGCUCUGCCAAGGACAAGGAAUAGGCAAAUGUCAAAUGUGGCUUUGUGAAUUGUGAUGAUAGUUUUCACAAGUUAACUACUUUGAUUACCCCAAGUGCAAACAUCUCUGUACAAACGCACCUGGUUGAGCCACAAGAAGAAGCGAGGUGACACAGGGUAGCCAACUGAGCCAGAAGGGAAGCAAUGUUGGUGACGAAUUUUGUCCCAGCAGUUACAUUG
rnacentral:lncRNA from 1 species